ACGAACGCUGGCGGCGUGGAUAAGACAUGCAAGUCGAACGAGAGAAUUGCUAGCUUGCUAAUAAUUCUCUAGUGGCGCACGGGUGAGUAACACGUGAGUAACCUGCCCCCGAGAGCGGGAUAGCCCUGGGAAACUGGGAUUAAUACCGCAUAGUAUCGAAAGAUUAAAGCAGCAAUGCGCUUGGGGAUGGGCUCGCGGCCUAUUAGUUAGUUGGUGAGGUAACGGCUCACCAAGGCGAUGACGGGUAGCCGGUCUGAGAGGAUGUCCGGCCACACUGGAACUGAGACACGGUCCAGACACCUACGGGUGGCAGCAGUCGAGAAUCAUUCACAAUGGGGGAAACCCUGAUGGUGCGACGCCGCGUGGGGGAAUGAAGGUCUUCGGAUUGUAAACCCCUGUCAUGUGGGAGCAAAUUAAAAAGAUAGUACCACAAGAGGAAGAGACGGCUAACUCUGUGCCAGCAGCCGCGGUAAUACAGAGGUCUCAAGCGUUGUUCGGAAUCACUGGGCGUAAAGCGUGCGUAGGCUGUUUCGUAAGUCGUGUGUGAAAGGCGCGGGCUCAACCCGCGGACGGCACAUGAUACUGCGAGACUAGAGUAAUGGAGGGGGAACCGGAAUUCUCGGUGUAGCAGUGAAAUGCGUAGAUAUCGAGAGGAACACUCGUGGCGAAGGCGGGUUCCUGGACAUUAACUGACGCUGAGGCACGAAGGCCUGGGGAGCGAAAGGGAUUAGAUACCCCUGUAGUCCUGGCAGUAAACGGUGCACGCUUGGUGUGCGGGGAAUCGACCCCCUGCGUGCCGGAGCUAACGCGUUAAGCGUGCCGCCUGGGGAGUACGGUCGCAAGAUUAAAACUCAAAGAAAUUGACGGGGACCCGCACAAGCGGUGGAGUAUGUGGCUUAAUUCGAUGCAACGCGAAGAACCUUACCUGGGCUUGACAUGUAAUGAACAACAUGUGAAAGCAUGCGACUCUUCGGAGGCGUUACACAGGUGCUGCAUGGCCGUCGUCAGCUCGUGUCGUGAGAUGUUUGGUUAAGUCCAGCAACGAGCGCAACCCCUGUUGCCAGUUACCAGCACGUGAAGGUGGGGACUCUGGCGAGACUGCCCAGAUCAACUGGGAGGAAGGUGGGGACGACGUCAGGUCAGUAUGGCCCUUAUGCCCAGGGCUGCACACGUACUACAAUGCCCAGUACAGAGGGGGCCGAAGCCGCGAGGCGGAGGAAAUCCUAAAAACUGGGCCCAGUUCGGACUGUAGGCUGCAACCCGCCUACACGAAGCCGGAAUCGCUAGUAGUGGCGCAUCAGCUACGGCGCCGUGAAUACGUUCCCGGGUCUUGUACACACCGCCCGUCACAUCAUGGAAGCCGGUCGCACCCGAAGUAUCUGAAGCCAACCGCAAGGAGGCAGGGUCCUAAGGUGAGACUGGUAACUGGGAUG
rnacentral:rRNA from 1 species